rnacentral:lncRNA from 1 species
UUUUGUAAGGGUGAUAGCUAAGAAGGAUCUGAGAAAACGUUUUUGUCUUUCUUGCAUGACUGAUGUUCAAAUUCUACCUCAGAUUUCAAUGACAAUUUCACUUCCUAGGAAUUUUGUGGUCUUUUCUUAUGAAUUCUUGAUGGGAUUCAUACAAUGGAAGCUUAUAAGAGACUUCAGUCUCGGCAAUUUCUGUGUUUCUCCAGAAUUUUCCUCUGUUCUACUAGACUUGCACAGAGUUUUUCCAUGUGAGUUUCUGAUUCCUUUCCUGUUCUGA